UACUCGAGUGGCGAACGGGUGAGUAACACGUGGGUGAUCUGCCCUGCACUUCGGGAUAGGCUUGGGAAACUGGGUCUAAUACCGGAUAGGACCGCACUUUAGUGUGUGUGGUGGAAAGUUUUUUCGGUGUAGGAUGAGCUCGCGGCCUAUCAGCUUGUUGGUGGGGUAAUGGCCUACCAAGGCGGCGACGGGUAGCCGGCCUGAGAGGGUGUACGGCCACAUUGGGACUGAGAUACGGCCCAG
rnacentral:rRNA from 1 species